GGGGACGACAGAUUUCCAGCUUCUACGACGCUCUGCCUAAAUUAAAAAGCAACCAAUCGGAACGGCCGGAAGGGGGGCCGCGCGUCCUGAGCCAGUCAUUCCGGGCCUGCCAAUCACCCAGCGGGUAGCCAAUCAGCGGGGGCCCUGGUGCUCGACUUCCUUGUAUUUGGGAAAGUGUGGUGGUGGGUGCGCGCUCGCGGCGGAGGGUAAACAUUCGACAGUCCCUGCUCUGAGAGGGAGGGACAGAGAGCGAACUGUCAGAUCCCUGCGAGAGCGGGCGGGCGAGCGAGGGAGAGGGAGUGAGAGAGAGAGAGAGAGAGGGAGGGAGAGGGAAAGUGAGAGAGGGAGAGAGCGCGAACGAGGGCGCAGAGCGAGCUCCCGCUGCAACUCCGCUCCGGCUUGGCCAGCGCCAGCGCCGUCGGUGCACUCUACGAGCCGUGCAACGUGCCCACUGGAGUUGGUUGUGUAUCAAGGAUCCCCUAUAUGCACACACACACCUCCACCUCCACCAAUGCACUCUUCUUCCUCCUCCUCCUCCAGACAACUGCUGGGAAAAAAAUAAAACACCAACCCCAACCGUCAGCAACAAGAGGCAACCAAGAGCUCCGGCAAUAGCAACUUCAGAGAAAUGCACCAUCGCAAGAAGUUUUCCUAGGACAGAACAAAACUUGAAACGAAAGGACCAGAGGAGGAGAGCAGGAGCCAGCCUCUCCUCUCCGCACACGCGAGCAGCCAGCAUCACCACGCCUUCAAGGACGGAAAAAAAGUUUUACUACUCUAAGGGAAAACGAGUGAAAUGUGUUCCUGAGGAGGAGAGAAGAGAGCGGGCAAGGGAAGCAGCGGUCCGGUUGCUGGUCACCCACAAUUUGGUUAAGGAAGAAAGGAACGGCUGCUUUCUUUGUUGUCUCCCGUGAAAUCUUCACUUAGCAGGUGGACUGAGCCCCGCGCCCGGGCAGAGUCCGCGCUCGGCGGA